rnacentral:rRNA from 1 species
GAUGAACGCUGGCGGCGUGCCUAAUACAUGCAAGUCGAGCGAACGGACGAGAAGCUUGCUUCUCUGAUGUUAGCGGCGGACGGGUGAGUAACACGUGGAUAACCUACCUAUAAGACUGGGAUAACUUCGGGAAACCGUAGCUAAUACCGGAUAAUAUUUUGAACCGCAUGGUUCAAAAGUGAAAGACGGUCUUGCUGUCACUUAUAGAUGGAUCCGCGCUGCAUUAGCUAGUUGGUAAGGUAACGGCUUACCGAGGCAACGAUGCAUAGCCGACCUGAGAGGGGGAUCGGCCACACUGGAAAUGAGACCCGGUCCAGACUCCUAGGGGAGGCAGCAGUAGGGAAUCUUCCGCAAUGGGCGAAAGCCUGACGGAGCAACGCCGGGUGGGUGAUGAAGGUUUUCGGAUCGUAAAACUUUUUUAUUAGGGAAGAAAAUAUGUGAAAGUAACGGUGCCAAUUUUGGCGGUACCUAAUCAGAAAACCACGGCUAACUACGG